rnacentral:rRNA from 1 species
AUGGAUGUGGAGAGAGCUGCGUCCAAGGGGCAUGGCAUCCUCAGCCUCUUUGACUGGGGCAAGAGCAAGAAGUCCAAGAAGCGGCUGUUCGCCGGAAGCGGGGGCGCUUCUCCGACGCCGGGGAGCACGGCAGACGGGAAGGAAGCCGUUGGCAGCAGGCCGAGCACGCCGUCAAACUCGAUUCUCGAAGAGCCAUCGAGUUUGAGGGAAAGUAGCGAGCAUAGCUCGUCAUCCUCGGUAAUCGAUGAGGACGCUCGUGCGAUGAAAGGACCCACUGUUGUGGCGAGGCUGAUGGGUUUGGAUUCCAUGCCUGCGACCAGCUCAUCUGGAUCCUACCCGAUUCCUUCUACCGCACAGCAAACCUUCACAAACAAUGUCCAUGAUGAGUUCAUUGGCAGAAGCUACAUUGGCAGUCCUAGUCCUCAUAAGAUGCCGAGUAGCCCUAUUGACCGGUUUGGAAUGGAAGCGCUGCCUCAGAGAUUUGCCAAAAGGACACUUUCAGGCGCGCAACACAAGUUGUUCUCCCCGGUAAAGAAUCCUAAUCAUACGUCAGGCAGAAAUGCUGCUGAUAUAAUGGAGGCAGCGUCUAGGAUCAUUGGGCCUGGAGUUGAGAGUAAUAGCUCUUACAGAGCUCGGGAUGUUGGGUACUCAAAUGUCGUGCGUGCCUUCAACACAUCAGAGAUUGUUAGAGUCCAGCAAAUGUCCCAAGCGGCGAAGAAGCGUGACACCUCAGCAUCUGCGAAGGCACCGAGAGCAAAACCUUUUGAUGGAAGUUUGGCAACUUCAGAGUCAGCCUCUUCUUCCAGGUUCUCAGAGUCAAACGGAAAUGCUCCGGCUGCUCCAAGGGUCAAGGCCGCCAGUAGAUUUUCACUAGAUCCGAGAGCUGCAAGUACCCAAGGAAGUGGAGGUAGAAGCAAAAACAGCAGGAAACCUGCAACUCAUAUGGAUCCUGAACAUAACAUGGCUGAGAGAAAUCGGGGCAACCAACAAAAGAGUAAUAACCAAACUGUUGCAAGCUCUUCCAAUUCGCUUGAGCAAAAUAACAGGAAGCGGAAUGCUAUGGGUGUUAAGCACAAGGUGAAUCCAAAGUCAGCAAGACUCAGCCAACAGGGAAGCAACAUUCAUUCAACAAAUGCCUCUCCCAGGAAGGCCGGGAUCACCAGCACCCGCACUGAAAGCAGUACGAAAGUCAACACAAAGGGAGAAAUGCAGCCAACCAACUAUGCAAACAGAAGACCAAAUUCUACAGCCAAAACAAUCCCGAAACCGAGAAGAUUGCCAGAUGGGAGGAUGAACCCAAAGAAAAACCAGUCAAUUGAUAAAAUUCUCGCUGAGAGAAUUCAAAGGCGUGUUCAGAACAACAUUGGGACAGAUGAGCAGUCAUCUAUCUCCACAAACAAAAACAAAGUCAGCACUGAGAUUGUUUCGUUCACAUUUACCUCACCAGUUCACAAAUCAUUACCUGGUUCUAGAUUUCGCAACCAUUCAGUGGAAACACGGUCAAUAGAGAGCAUGAACUCAGCGCCAACUUCAAGCAAUACAUCAAAUACUAAACCUGAUGACAUAGAUGGUGAUUAUUUGGGAAUUCUUCUGGAGCAGAAAUUGAGAGAAUUGACCUCUCGGGUAAAGUCACCCUAUUCUAAGCCAGCCAAUGGUGUUCGAGUAUACGCCCCUUCACCAGGUUCGGAAGAUACAUCUAGCAUUGCAUCUACUGAGUAUGAUAGGGAGUCCUCUCAGCCUUUCAAGGACGGAAAGAACAAAUUCCACCAGAACGAUCUUGAAUCGAAAAGUGGUCAGUCAUCUCAAUCUGUGAAGUAUGAUAAUGAUUUCGUCGAUCAAGUGGAGUUAGAGCAUCUUCACUUCAGCCCCCGUUCCACAUGGGAAGUCUCGGUUUCAACAGAAACGGAAACCUGCUGCUCUGCAGAGAGCUGGACAAAUGCAAACGAAUCAAGGUUGUUUAGUUGUACAGAAGGAGCAGCAACAUCUGGUUCUGCACAGGACGGUGGAUCCCAAGAAGUGGACGCUUCAUCCGAAUAUUCCGACACGGCGUCAUCAGUCACGGCGACUACAGCAGAAACAACACACCCAUCAGAAAGCAGCAGUUCAUGUCGUGCGGACCGCGAUCCGGAGAUAGACUUCCUAAGGGAACUACUGAACGCCAGUUCUCUCAGCGGUUGCUCAUCAUCCCUUUUUGAGCGGUCUGGCAGCUCAGCCGUCCUGGACCAUCGUCUGCUGGAGGAGCUAAACAGGAGCGCCAGGCCUGCAGCUGGCGAGGAAGACGGUGGCAAGGCCUCGAGGAUGGCGCGAAGGCUGCUGUUCGACUGCGCGAACGAGGCGCUGAGCGGCAAGUGCGCCUACUACCUGGACGCGGGGUACGGGUCAUGGUUCACUGGCGCGGCGGUGCUUGCGAAGCUGUCGGCGGAGGAGCUGCACCGGGAGAUGAGCGGGGGCGGGCUGAGGGUGGCGGAGGAGUCGAUGGUGGACGAGCUGGUGUACAGGGAGAUGGGCGGGCCGCGCGGCGGGGCGUGGGUGGAGUUCAAGGCGGAGUCGUUCGAGGCCGGCAGGGACGUGGCGGCGGCGCUGCUGGAGGCCCUGGUGGACGAGGCCGUCGCCGACCUCCUCCUCGCGGGCUCUGGCGGUGCUGUUCCUUCCCGUUGCUGUUGA